UCAAACUUGGUCAUUUAGAGGAAGUAAAAGUCGUAACAAGGUUUCCGUAGGUGAACCUGCGGAAGGAUCAUUAUUGAAUAAACUUGGUAGGUUGUUGCUGGCUCAUCUUGGGCAUGUGCACGCCUUCCACUAGUUUUUCCAACCCCCUGUGCACCUUUUGUAGACUGGAGGAAACAUAUCUCGGGCUUCUGCUCGGCUUUUGAGAACCUGCUGUGUUGCACACAAGUGUGUCCCCAGCUGUUCUUGUGUCCCUUCUAGUCUAUGUUUUAUUAUAACACCUCAUGUAUGUAUCAGAAUGUAUUGUUGGGCCUAUUAGUGCCUUUAAUUCUAAUACAACUUUCAACAACGGAUCUCUUGGCUCUCGCAUCGAUGAAGAACGCAGC
rnacentral:misc_RNA from 1 species